AGGAUGGCAAUGAUGGAAUCAAUACAAUAAGAUCACAGCUCACUAAUAAAUUAAUGAAUUAGAUCAAAUCAUCCACAAUCAAGAUAUAUAAAUAUAUAAAGAAAUAAAAGAACCAAAGAGAAGCCCAUAAGUACAACAAUACAACACAAGAAAUUAUCUGGUUCAUCCACUAUCGGGCUACAUCCAUAGAUACGGAGAAGAUCAAAAUCUACUAUCAACUUGGG
rnacentral:lncRNA from 1 species